AGGGGGACUACACAUGCAGUCGAGCGGUAGCACASAAGAGCUUGSUCUCGGGUGACGAGYGGSGGACGGGUGAGUAAUGUSUGGGAAACUGCCYGAUGGRGGGGGAUAACUACUGGAAACGGUAGCUAAUACCGCAUAAUGUCGCAAGACCAAAGAGGGGGACCUUCGGGCCUCUUGCCAUCRGAUGUGCCCAGAUGGGAUUAGCUWGUAGGUGGGGUAACGGCUCACCUAGGCGACGAUCCCUAGCUGGKCUGAGAGGAUGACCAGCCACACUGGAACUGAGACACGGUCCAGACUCCUACGGGAGGCAGCAGUGGGGAAUAUUGCACAAUGGGCGCAAGCCUGAUGCAGCCAUGCCGCGUGURUGAARAARGCCUUCGGGUUGUAAAGUACUUUCAGCGRGGAGGAAGGCGWURWGGUUAAUAACCUYRKCGAUUGACGUUACYCGCAGAARAARCACCGGCUAACUCCGUGCCAGCAGCCGCGGUAAUACGGAGGGUGCRAGCGUUAAUCGGAAUUACUGGGCGUAAAGCGCACGCAGGCGGUCUGUCAAGUCGGAUGUGAAAUCCCCGGGCUCAACCUGGGAACUGYRUYYGAAACUGGSAGGCUAKAGUCUUGUAGAGGGGGGUAGAAUUCCAGGUGUAGCGGUGAAAUGCGUAGAGAUCUGGAGGAAUACCGGUGGCGAAGGCGGCCCCCUGGACAAAGACUGACGCUCAGGUGCGAAAGCGUGGGGAGCAAACAGGAUUAGAUACCCUGGUAGUCCACGCCGYAAACGAUGUCGAYUUGGAGGUUGUGCCCUUGAGGCGUGGCUUYCGGAGCUAACGCGUUAARUCGACCGCCUGGGGGAGUACGGCCGCAAGGUUAAAACUCAAUGAAUUGACGGGGGGCCCGCACAAGCGGUGGAGCAUGUGGUUUAAUUCGAUGCRACGCGAAGAACCUUAYCURSUCUUUGWCAUCCYACAGAACUUUAKCAGAGAUGCUUUGGUGCCUUCGGGAACUSUGAGAMCAGGUGCUGCAUGGCUGGUCGUCAGCUCGUGUUGUGAAUGUGGGUAGUCCUCGCAACGAGCGCAACCACCCUUAUCACUYUGGU
rnacentral:rRNA from 1 species